GAUGAACGCUGGCGGCGUGCCUAAUACAUGCAAGUCGAGCGAACAGACGAGUAGCUUGCUCCUCUGACGUUAGCGGCGGACGGGUGAGUAACACGUGGAUAACCUACCUAUAAGACUGGGAUAACUUCGGGAAACCGUAGCUAAUACCGGAGAAUAUAUUGAACCGCAUGGGUCAAUAGUGAAAGACGGUUUUGCUGUCACUUAUAGAUGGAUCCGCGCCGCAUUAGCUAGUUGGUAAGGUAACGGCUUACCAAGGCAACGAUGAGUAGCCGAACUGAGAGGGUGAUCGGCCACACUGGAACUGAGACACGGUCCAGACUCCUACGGGAGGCAGCAGUAGGGAAUCUUCCGCAAUGGGCGAAAGCCUGACGGAGCAACGCCGCGUGAGUGAUGAAGGUCUUCGGAUCGUAAAACUCUGUUAUUAGGGAAGAACAAAUGUGUACGUAACUAUGCACGUCUUGACGGUACCUAAUCAGAAAGCAACGGCUAACUACGUG
rnacentral:rRNA from 1 species